CAGCCCAGUCCUGGAUCACUUUGCUUUGUUCGCUUCCAUGCUGCGGAGCGAUGGUCGCGUUCCCAGGAUGCUGUAGAAGCGGCGUGCAGUUGACGUCACGCCCAGCGGCCGAUUCAGUUGACUCUUCCCAGUUUGGCACUUGGCGAUCACUCCAGCAGCACUGAGAGCGACUCAGCCAGACUACCUCGAGGUAAUGUCGCAAUUCGACUGACUCAAAAAAACCUGGGUCGCGGGGGCAGCAGCCUAAGCAGAGAAGCCCUGACUUCCCUCUCCCCAGCUACUUCGUCCAGUUCCUCCCGAGGGAUGACGAGGCGUUCCCAGGCCAGCCGGGAGACAUCGUCCCUCCCCUGGUCAGACGCGCCCUAAACACCUCGCCUGGCUCCUCCCAAUGUGGAGGCGCUGCUGCAGACACGGUGAUGUCAACGCCUCCAAAUGUAGUAAUGAAAACCACAAUGAAGAUGCACAAUACAAUCAAACAGCUGGUGCGUAAUAAGUACAACACUUACAGUGUUAACACUUUUUAGGGCGCAACAAAAAAACUCAACACUACAGCCAUCGAACGUC